GAUGAACGCUGGCGGCGCGCCUAACACAUGCAAGUCGAACGGUUAAAGCACCUUUUUGGUGUGUAUAACGUGGCGAACGUCUGCAUAACACGUGGGCAACCUGCCCUCCUCUUGGGGUUAGCCUCGGGAAACCGAGGAUAAUACCCGAUACUUCAAUGUGGCCGCAUGACGACUUUGAGCAAGCUUCUCCGGAGAAGGAUGGGACCGCGGCCUGUUAGCUUGUUGAUGGGGUAGAGGCCUACCAAGGCAAUGAUGUGUAGCGGGGUUGAGAGACCGACCAACGAGACAGGGACUUAGACACGGCCCCGACACCGACUGGAGGAAGAAGUGGGGAAGCUUGAUCGAGGGGCGAAGGCCGAAUGCAGAGACGCCGCGGGCGGGACGAAGGCCUUCUGGUUGAAAACCGUUUUCGGCAGGGACGAGGCAAUAAGUGACGGUACCUGCAGAAGAAGCCCCGGCUAACUACGUG
rnacentral:rRNA from 1 species